GUCCAUCUCAAGAUGCCUAGAUUAAUUUAAGAUGAAUAAAGUUUAGGCAACAAACGUGAAAAAGUUAAAUUCCACACAACACAAGGAAAAAAAAUAAAAUAGAAUCCAAAGACACGAAACUUGAAUAACAUAAAUAAAUAGCCUCAUGAUCAUCUUCUUCCUCUACUCCACUACGGUUCAUUUCACCGAAGGCAGCUGCACAUAAUCAAGGAUGUCUCUCUGUGAUGGUAAAACCUCAUGGCCGGAGCUGAUCGGAAAACAUGGAAAGGUGGCGGAGGAAACGAUAGAGAGAGAGGUUCCAUGGGUAAAUGCUAAGGUUGUCCAGGAAGGAACCACUUUUGUUACUGCUGAUUAUAAUUGUAAUAGGGUUUGGGUUUGGGUUAAUAAACAUGGCUUUGUUACUAGAAUUCCCAUUAUUGGUUAAUUAAUUUUAAUAAUACCCCUUUAACAA